rnacentral:rRNA from 1 species
AUUGAACGCUGGCGGCAGGCCUAACACAUGCAAGUCGAGCGGAUGAAGGGAGCUUGCUCCUGGAUUCAGCGGCGGACGGGUGAGUAAUGCCUAGGAAUCUGCCUGGUAGUGGGGGAUAACGUCCGGAAACGGGCGCUAAUACCGCAUACGUCCUGAGGGAGAAAGUGGGGGAUCUUCGGACCUCACGCUAUCAGAUGAGCCUAGGUCGGAUUAGCUAGUUGGUGGGGUAAAGGCCUACCAAGGCGACGAUCCGUAACUGGUCUGAGAGGAUGAUCAGUCAAACUGGAACUGAGACACGGUCCAGACUCCUACGGGAGGCAGCAGGGGGGAAUAUUGGACAAUGGGCGAAAGCCUGAUCCAGCCAUGCCGGGUGGGUGAAGAAGGUCUUCGGAUUGUAAAGCACUUUAAGUUGGGAGGAAGGGCAGUAAGUUAAUACCUUGCUGUUUUGACGUUACCAACAGAAUAAGCACCGGCUAACUUCGU